UACGGGGGGAGCAAGCGUUGUUCGGAUUUACUGGGCGUAAAGGGUGCGUAGGCGGUUGGGUAAGUCUGUCGUGAAAUCUCCGAGCCUAACUCGGAAACUGCGUCGGAUACUAUUCAACUCGAGGAAUGGAGGGGAGACUGGAAUUCUCGGUGUAGCAGUGAAAUGCGUAGAUAUCGAGAGGAACACCAGUGGCGAAGGCGAGUCUCUGGACAUUUCCUGACGCUGAGGCACGAAAGCCAGGGGAGCAAACGGG
rnacentral:rRNA from 1 species